AUGUUUCUUCAAGUGUCUACUUCAAGCUUGCCCUUACCAUUUACCAGGUGGCGACUUGCCGGAGGAGCCGGUGGUGCUGCUGCGACCUUCUCCGGGCGAUGGUCAAUGAUGCAAGUUGAAACCGGGGAUGGGAUAGCGGCUCCGGGCAACAAUCAGAGGCGAGGCAGCGCUACAGACCAAGGACAAAGUGCUGCACCAGGGCGACAGCGCGGGGCGAGGAAGAAGCGGCGGAUGGGGCUGCACAUGGGGGAGUUGGGGCGACGGCUCGGUUCAGCGCACGGGAUCGUAUUAACUCUGUUUUCUCCUAGGCUUCGCAUCCGUCCAGGGUGGAGCACUGAGAGCAGCCUUAUAGAAGUAAUGCAAUAUAUUCUCUCUUAUGCCUACUUGAAAUACUGUUGUGGGUCUGUACUUUGCCUCUCAUAUUGCAAGGAUAACACAUUGUAUGCCAAUUCUCUUAACUGUAGUAAGGAUGAAGCAGGAAAGUGUGCUGGACCUUCUAACAUGAAUAUUGUACAUGUACGAGCUACGAGCCACUAUUUUUUAUCAUAUGGAUUGUAA
rnacentral:rRNA from 1 species